rnacentral:rRNA from 1 species
GUCAAAGCGUUCAUUAAAGUCGAGUUGGCUUAGGGAUACGUUCGUUGGGUAGGGGAGCGUUCUGUAAGCCUGUGAAGGUGUGUCGUGAGGCAUGCUGGAGGUAUCAGAAGUGCGAAUGCUGACAUAAGUAACGAUAAAGCGGGUGAAAAGCCCGCUCGCCGGAAGACCAAGGGUUCCUGUCCAACGUUAAUCGGGGCAGGGUGAGUCGACCCCUAAGGCGAGGCCGAAAGGCGUAGUCGAUGGGAAACGGGUUAAUAUUCCCGUACUUGGUGUUACUGCGAAGGGGGGACGGAGAAGGCUAUGUUGGCCGGGCGACGGUUGUCCCGGUUUAAGCGUGUAGGUGUGUGUUCCAGGUAAAUCCGGUUCACUUUAACACUGAGGC